rnacentral:lncRNA from 1 species
ACAGAGCUGGAGUGAUGGCUUAAGUAUUAUUUUCGUUUUUGCAAAGAAGCUUGAAGAAAUGGAAGAUUUGGUUGGGUUGAAGUAGCAUAUGUUUGAGUUUAUUGUUCUUGUGUUGAAUUGGAAUUUGAACUUUGNUCUCUUGGGUUUAUGUUUAUGUAGUAGGGAUGAAGAAAACAUGAAUGGUGUGUUGGUGGAGAAAGAAAACCGAAAAUGGAGGUGAAAGGAGGAGAGAAGGUGCAUNUAAGUUUUUGCCAUUUUUGGACAAACACAUAUGAUGCUUCUUUUGACCAAAAGAAUGUUACUACUUUGAGUUUUUGUCUUUUCCUUGCAUUGUUGCUGCCAUGAAUUGCAUGAGGAAUGG